rnacentral:rRNA from 1 species
CAGGCUAAUACCGCAUACGUCCUACGGGAGAAAGGGGGCUUCGGCUCCCGCUAUUGGAUGAGCCUAUGUCGGAUUAGCUAGUUGGUGAGGUAAAGGCUCACCAAGGCAACGAUCCGUAGCUGGUCUGAGAGGAUGAUCAGCCACAUCGGGACUGAGACACGGCCCGAACUCCUACGGGAGGCAGCAGUGGGGAAUAUUGGACAAUGGGGGCAACCCUGAUCCAGCCAUGCCGCGUGUGUGAAGAAGGCCCUCGGGUUGUAAAGCACUUUCAGCGAGGAAGAACGCCUGGCGGUUAAUACCCGCCAGGAAAGACAUCACUCGCAGAAGAAGCACCGGCUAACUCCGCGCCAGCAGCCGCGGUAAUACGGAGGGUGCAAGCGUUAAUCGGAAUUACUGGGCGUAAAGCGCGCGUAGGUGGCUUGAUAAGCCGGUUGUGAAAGCCCCGGGCUCAACCUGGGAACGGCAUCCGGAACUGUCAAGCUAGAGUGCAGGAGAGGAAGGUAGAAUUCCCGGUGUAGCGGUGAAAUGCGUAGAGAUCGGGAGGAAUACCAGUGGCGAAGGCGGCCUUCUGGACUGACACUGACACUGAGGUGCGAAAGCGUGGGUAGCAAACAGGAUUAGAUACCCUGGUGGUCCACGCCGUAAACGAUGUCGACCAGCCGUUGGGUGCCUAGCGCACUUUGUGGCGAAGUUAACGCGAUAAGUCGACCGCCUGGGGAGUACGGCCGCAAGGUUAAAACUCAAAUGAAUUGACGGGGGCCCGCACAAGCGGUGGAGCAUGUGGUUUAAUUCGAUGCAACGCGAAGAACCUUACCUACCCUUGACAUCCUGCGAACCCGGAAGAGAUUCCGGGGUGCCUUCGGGAACGCAGAGACAGGUGCUGCAUGGCUGUCGUCAGCUCGUGUUGUGAAAUGUUGGGUUAAGUCCCGUAACGAGCGCAACCCUUGUCCUUAUUUGCCAGCGAGUAAUGUCGGGAACUCUAAGGAGACUGCCGGUGACAAACCGGAGGAAGGUGGGGACGACGUCAAGUCAUCAUGGCCCUUACGGGUAGGGCUACACACGUGCUACAAUGGCCGGUACAAAGGGCGGCGAGCUCGCGAGAGUCAGCGAAUCCCUUAAAGCCGGUCUCAGUCCGGAUCGGAGUCUGCAACUCGACUCCGUGAAGUCGGAAUCGGUAGUAAUCGUGAAUCAGAAUGUCACGGUGAAUACGUUCCCGGGCCUU